ensembl:snRNA U6 U6 spliceosomal RNA
GUGAGCAUUCAGCAACAUACAGAGUAAAACUGGAAUAAUAGAGAAGAUAAGCAUGCCUCCUGCAAAAAAGGAUGACAGGCAAAUUUGCUAAGUGUUCCAUAUUAGU